UUGUACCAAAAUACAUGUACUCUAGAUUUUGUUUUUCGUGUUAGUAUGCAGUUUUCCAAAUCCUAAACACUAUGGCGAUCUACGCAUUAGAGAGAUACACAUUAUUACAUUUAAAUGCGAUGGACAGAUAUGUAAAACCGUAAUGGAUAAUACAGCAGACGCCCGAGAACAGAUAUUCCACAACGCAGUUCGGGAAUACAUUAUAUAUCUGCUGUUUAUCAUCACACUUUGCAUCGUGUCCUACGCCAUCCUCAAUCGCUUCAAACGCAGGGCCGAAAGAGAUGACUACUAUUCAGAUGAUGAGGAUUUCAUCGUUUACAGGAUCGUGUAAGUAUGCGAGUGC